rnacentral:rRNA from 1 species
CCUACGGGCGGCAGCAGUGGGGAAUAUUGCACAAUGGGCGCAAGCCUGAUGCAGCCAUGCCGCGUGUGUGAAGAAGGCCUUCGGGUUGUAAAGCACUUUCAGCGGGGAGGAAGGCGGUGAGGUUAAUAACCUCAUCGAUUGACGUUACCCGCAGAAGAAGCACCGGCUAACUCCGUGCCAGCAGCCGCGGUAAUACGGAGGGUGCAAGCGUUAAUCGGAAUUACUGGGCGUAGAGCGCACGCAGGCGGUCUGUCAAGUCGGAUGUGAAAUCCCCGGGCUCAACCUGGGAACUGCAUUCGAAACUGGCAGGCUAGAGUCUUGUAGAGGGGGGUAGAAUUCCAGGUGUAGCGGUGAAAUGCGUAGAGAUCUGGAGGAAUACCGGUGGCGAAGGCGGCCCCCUGGACAAAGACUGACGCUCAGGUGCGAAAGCGUGGGGAGCAAACAGGAUUAGAUACCCGGGUAGUC